GCCCCUGGGACUGGUGGUUCGCGCGGGCGGCCAGAGCGGUCCUUCCGCUUCAGCCCGCCCAGUCGGCCACCGACGGGAGCGGUCGUGGGCGUGUGCGGUACGGCGAAGCGCCUUCCGGAAAAUUGUUCCUCAUCAGACGCGCGACCUCGCUUCCGCGUACGGUGCUGCCGGGUGUGAAAAACACUCCUGUGCAAAUUUUAUUCAUUUGAGAGCGAGCGAGCAGGAGCAGAGGGAAAAGCCGACUCCCCGCUGAGCCAGGAGCCCGACGACAUGGGGCUCCAUCCCAGGACCCGGAGAUCACGACCCCAGUGGAAGGCAGACGCUUAACCGUCUGAGCCACCCAGAUUUUAUUCAUUCACUUGAGAAAGUGAAAGCAAGGGAGGUCACAGAGGGAGAAGCAGACUCGCCGCUAAGUGGAGAGCCGGACAUGGGGCUCAAUCCCAGGACCCUGAGAUCAUGACCUGAGCUGAAGGCAGACCCUUAACCGACUGAGCCACCCAGGCACCCCAAUGUAGUUGUAUCUUAAACAUAUU